rnacentral:rRNA from 1 species
AUUGAACGCUGGCGGCAGGCCUAACACAUGCAAGUCGAGCGGGGUUUUCGGACCUAGCGGCGGACGGGUGAGUAAUGCGUAGGAAGCUACCCGAUAGAGGGGGAUACCAGUUGGAAACGACUGUUAAUACCGCAUAAUGUCUACGGACCAAAGUGUGGGACCUUCGGGCCACAUGCUAUCGGAUGCGCCUACGUGGGAUUAGCUAGUUGGUGAGGUAAUGGCUCACCAAGGCGACGAUCCCUAGCUGGUUUGAGAGGAUGAUCAGCCACACUGGAACUGUGACACGGUCCAGACUCCUACGGGAGGCAGCAGUGGGGAAUAUUGGACAAGGGGCGCAAGCCUGAUCCAGCCAUGCCGCGUGUGUGAAGAAGGCCUUCGGGUUGUAAAGCACUUUCAGUAGGGAGGAAGCGUUGAGUGUUAAUAGUACUCAGCGUUGACGUUACCUACAGAAGAAGCACCGGCUAACUCUGUGCCAGCCGCCGCCGUAAGAC